UGUGGUUGUUGUUGGAGCAUUGAAUGUUGCGCUUGGCGCUGGACCAGCGGGGGCUGGGUGGGCCGCGACGCUUGAUUGGGUCGUUUCCAACUGCCCCGACGUCGGCAGCGAUGAGACGGUGCGCCAGCAGACAUGACCAUUUGCGCGCAAGGACCCCAUGAAUCCCGUGUACGCGGCCAAGGUGACCACGCCGCUCGCAGCUCCAUCUGGGCUAUCCUCACUAUUAUCGUCGCUUUCGGCCAGUCUCUUUCUUUUCUUUCUGAACACUAUCGAUUGAUGAAGUUGUUUUCCCAAAUUGAUGUCUGAAUGUGCCAAAUCUGCUGCUCUGUAGGUGCCAGCGUCGAUGACAUAAUUUAUCAAUGGUGGGUUCAGUAGUAACUCAAAUCUGUUUUUCUGAAUGUGCCAGCGUGUGAUGGAAUUUAUCAUUGGUGAGUUUGGUAGUAACUCUAAUCUGCUGCUAUGUUGUUUUCAGCCUGGUAAGAUAGUUGUUCAUGCCACUUGCUUAACUGUGUUACCUGUUUUCAGCUAGUGUACAAAAACAAACAAAUUCUAGACAUGCAUGAGUAGUGCAAGUAUGAAUUUGAUCAUGCAUCUUACCUGAGAUCGACAAAGUCUUGCUUUGCUUAAUUACACAUAAACAUGCAUGGUAAAAACAAAAUCCUUAUUGAUUACAGAGAAAGAAAGUUGAUACUCCCAUUACUGAGAACAAGCUUUGGUUAGUUGAGAGUGUUCUAUGUGAACUUUAGUCAGUUUUCUGGCAUUUUACUAUUCAUAAAUCAUGCAUUCCGAAUGCCCUAAGUAGUUUUAUUUGUGAAGUGACUAUGUACUAAUGUACUUCUCCGUCGCGUAAUUGUCAAUGUGCAAGAUGUACAUGGAUAGUGCAUUUUGCGUCACUUACCCUAUGUUUCUACUGUCUGUAGUUACCCAGUAAUCACCCGACCAUUAAUCUUAAGGUGUUUUAGUUUCCCAAUUAUAUAUGUGAUAAUAGCCCAUUGUUAAUUUUUACGUUUCUUUUCAUCAGAAUUUACACCGUAAGUACCAAGGUAUUGAAGCAUAGUCACCAUUUUUUUGCUUGUAUAUGUGUGCAUUAGACAUUCUUUAGUUAACUCAUCAAAAUAUAAAAUUGGGUACGUCCAUGCCAUAUAUGCUCUCUGCUGUUGAGACAUUAUGAUAUGUCAUUUUUGGUGUCAUGUUAGCCUGGACAACCUUAUGGUCUGAACCCUUGUACUUGAUGGUUUCCGUGUGUGUAUCUAUGGAUGCACCCAAUAGGUAGUAUAUAAUGUUUAAUAUUUUUUCUCAAAUAUGGAAAGUGAAGUGAUGGAAAAUUUCUUCCGAGUAAUUUGAUACUAUAACAAAUACUAAUAUAUUUAAGCACAUAUAUGGUCCUUUUGUCUUUCCUGUGGACAUACAUUUUACUUUGCUCACAGAAUGUUAAUUGGCUCACUGAAAAUUUGCAUACUUAUCAAACAGCUGCUGAGCUCUCUUUACUUUGGGCACUGUUUACCGGCAUCUCAAUCCCGACCUAGCAGGUCUGCUUACUGGCAUCAACAGGUACCACUCUCUCCCCUUCUCCUCUAGAAAAAUGCAUGAAUUGAAAAUUCACAGCAAACUGGACAAGAUCAGUAUACUAGCAUUGUUACACGAUUAAUUACUCCCUCCAUUUUUAUUUACUUUGCAUAUUAGAGUUGACUAAAGUCAAACUUCAUAAAGUUUGACCUAGUUUAUAGAAAAGAAUAUAGACAUUUAUCAUAAUAAAUCUAUACGAUGUGAAAGUACAUUUAAUAAUAAAUCUAAUGUUAUUGAUUUGUUAUUGUAUACCUUAAUAUUUUUGUAUAUAAACUUGGUCAAAGUUUGUAAACCUUGACUUUGACCAAAGCUAAUAUGCGAACUAAAUAAAAACGGAGGGAGUAUGAAAUACUGCAAGGUGGAUAUGGUUCUAAAAGUAUCAUCAACUAUUCAUUAUAUUAUUGUCCUAUGCAGCUGCAUUUGAUAAUAAUUGCCUUAUGUUUAGGAACGGAAGGAGUACUUUGUUACAUUGGAUCUCUUGGUGGUUAAUUUCCCGCAUUCUGGAGGAUUCAUGCUUGUUCACUACACUUUUGUAUGCAUGGUUGAUUGCAUGCAUUAUCUUUUGCUUGCCACCCGCAAUGGUUGUUCAAUAGAUUUUCUAUGUUCCAUUCAACAUGCACAUUAACUUGUUGACAUGUUUGGGCCAAACAAUAUGGAACAUGGAGGGUAUCUUGUCCUAAGACCCGAGCCAUUCACAUGUAUCGUAACGCUUUCCCUUACCUCUGGUGCAUCAUGCCAAUGUAUUUCUUUUUUCUAAUUCCCCAACUGCUAAUGAGUUACCUAAAGUUGAAUCUAUAUUGAAUACUCAUUUACUUUAAUAACUUGGUCAAUACUUGAUGUGCGCCUAGACAAGUGUAGCUACACAUUGGAAUCUUGAAUUUCAUUUUAGGGUGGCAUUUGUAUACUUUAUCUGGAAAUAAUACUUGCUUGUUAACCUCUGUUGUAUUGUCAUGAUAGUCGUUGUUAAGCUACAAUGAGAAAAUUUUGUCCAACCUUUGUCCUAUAGUGGGUGAUUGUCUUGUGAAAAAUACCUCUGUACUGUACUGUCAUGACACUUUGGUUGGCUUAUCAUAAUUGUAGUUGUUUCCUUCUUAUUACAGUAUAUGUGUCUUACAACAAAUAUGUUUCAAUUCAAUUGCUAUGUGGUCUGCAUGUUCUUCUCAUGUGCGAUCUUUCUUGAUCCCAGGAUAUUCUGCAAUCCAGAAGAACUGGCUACUCAGAAGUGGAUGACAGUGAACAGGAGAAGCUAUGGUUUCCUGAUUUGUUGUUAUGUGUACGUGUUGUCAUGAAGCAUAGUGGUUCUGGCUUUGUGUAAAAUCAUUAUAAGUAUAGUACCUCUUUAGAGGAGUUUAACGCUGAACUAUGUAUGUGAUUCAUGUACCUGAAGUAUCCACUAUGAUGCCUAUUGCUGAAAACAAUAUAACUAUUUAUUGAUAAUAUUAGUUUCCGGCUGGAAUUAUCUAUGAUGCCUUUUUUGAG
rnacentral:lncRNA from 1 species